rnacentral:tRNA from 1 species
GGUGAGUUGGCUGAGCGGCAAGGCAGCGGUCUGCAAAACCGUCAAGACGGGUUCGACUCCCGUACUCACCUCCA